CACAUGAGGAACAAGGGCUCCUUCAUCUUAACCCUAACUUGCAAAAUUGAUCAAAUUAAGAAGGCAAAUCGAAUCCAAAUCGAAAUGGAAAUCCAAGCUCAAAUUAGUGAUCACCUCAGUGAAGGGAUCACAAGGCAAGGAAGUCGAAUCCUCAAGCGGACAAGCCGGAGUGGAUACGCGCUUGAAAGGAAAGCUCUAAAGCUUUUAAGUUGGUUUUGAUAUUAGGUGAUAAUAGCAAGCUUCCGGAUGGCGAUCAAGCAAUGGACAAGAACCGAACACACAUCCGAACAAAGCUUUCGCGUUAAUCUAUUUUGUUUAGUUAAUAUGUAACAUGUAAACACUUGAUGCUACAUUUUGAAUGUUUUAAACUAGUAGGGAUGUUAACUUGAAUAUUUUAAUCAUGUAUGAACGUUAACUUAACAAAGUUUUUUCAAAGUCG